rnacentral:rRNA from 1 species
UGGGGAAUAUUGCACAAUGGGCGCAAGCCUGAUGCAGCCAUGCCGCGUGUAUGAAGAAGGCCUUCGGGUUGUAAAGUACUUUCAGCAGUGAGGAAGGUUCAUGCGUUAAUAGCGUAUGGAUUUGACGUUAGCUGCAGAAGAAGCACCGGCUAACUCCGUGCCAGCAGCCGCGGUAAUACGGAGGGUGCGAGCGUUAAUCGGAAUUACUGGGCGUAAAGCGCAUGCAGGUGGUUUGUUAAGUCAGAUGUGAAAGCCCGGGGCUCAACCUCGGAAUUGCAUUUGAAACUGGCAGACUAGAGUACUGUAGAGGGGGGUAGAAUUUCAGGUGUAGCGGUGAAAUGCGUAGAGAUCUGAAGGAAUACCGGUGGCGAAGGCGGCCCCCUGGACAGAUACUGACACUCAGAUGCGAAAGCGUGGGGAGCAAACAGGAUUAGAUACCCCCGUAGUCC